UCCUCUGUUUUUCCUCUUUUUGUAACAAGAUAGAUGUUAACUAAGGUUUUGCCUUUGAGUAAGAGAGCAUGGAAAUUAGAUUGUAGCCUGGGUAUCUGAGCAAACAGCAGUAGCCUAAAGCGGGAUCUGUGUUGCUAAAGCGCAUAAUGACUAAUAUCAGUGGCUGAUUGUCUAAGGUCCACUGAUUGCCUGUUCUGUGUGUUUUGAUUGCUAAUUUCACCCUGCAUGUGUUCUAACAAAAGUUCACACCACCUGAAUGUACCUUGGCUGCGGAUCACAAUCGGAAAUAGGAGUCACACAACUGAAAACACAUGCAGGUAUUUCUAAUUGAGUUUUGCCUUUUCAUAUUGACUAAAUAUCAACAUGAAAUCAAAUAUGAAUCAAAAAGCAUUUGUAAACUACACAAAUCUAGAAAACGAAGAAACUAACAACCUGAUCAGGAUACAACACAAUCAAAUACAAUCGUAAAUGGUUGCAUGUGAGGACUGGAAAGAUAUAUUGGAUUUUCACUAUCAUCUUUAACAUUACGCUUACUAAGUAAUAGGCUAGUGUCCUGUCAGAGGGUGAACUUGUACAUCAAGCUGCCUCACGCUACAGAAACAGGAGCUCCUAUGAGCUGUUCCGGCUCACACACGCCAAGGAUCUUGCAAGGCUACUUACUUACUUUUUAACAGGUGCUGGCAUCUGGAACCAAACAUGUGGAAAUACUCUGCAGUGAUUGGUGUCUGUCUCAGAGUGUAGAAGAGGAGUCUUCCUCCUGGGCAACACACUAUGCCUACUCCAGUCGACAUAGCUCCCCCAUUAACAAUACUGACGGAGAGAAGACAUCCAGGACAAGAAGGUCCAAGGGGAGGGACCUGGGACCUUCUCCUUCAAUACAUGAGGCGAGGAAAUAUCUGAGAUCAACACUAAUUGAAUUUGGCUGGAACACACCAGUACCAGAAGUACCAGAACCUCACAUUUUCUACUGCUUGAGAUCCGGCACCUCUAAUAUUAAUGUUGGCAUAAAAAUUGCUCUAAUAUAUACAGAGCUAGUCAAAAGUUUGGACACCUACUCAUUCAAGGGUUUUUCUUUAUUUGACUAUUUUCUACAUUGUAGGAUAAUAGUGAAGAUGAUAGUCCCACUAAGCGCAAAACAGAUAACCAGCAAGACUAUCGAUACGCCAUCCUAAGUGUGCCUUGAAUUCUAAAUAAAUCACAGACAGUGUCACCAGCAACGCACUCCCACACCAUCACGCCACUUCCUCCAUGCGUCACGGUGGGACCACACAUGCGGAAAUCAUCCGUUCACCUACUCUGCGUCUCACAAAGACACAGCGAUUGGAACCAAAAAUCUCAGAAUAGGACUCAUCAGACCAAAGGACACAUUUCCACCAGUCUCAUGUCCAUUGCUCAUGUUUCUUGGUACGAGCAAGUCUCUUCUUAUUAUUGCUGUCCUUUAAUAGUGUUUUUUGUUGUUGCAGCAAUUCACCCAUGAAGGCCUCAUUCACGCAGUCUCCUCUGAACAGUUGAUGUUGAGAUGUGUUUGUUACUUGAACUCUAUGAAGCAUCUAUUUAGGCUACAAUUCAGAGGCUGGUAACUUUAAUGAACUUGUCCUCUGCAGCAGAGGUAAGUGUGGGUCUUCCUUUCCUGUGGCAGUCCUCAUGAGAGCCAGUUUCAUCAUAGCGCUUGAUAAUUUUUGUGACGGCACUCAAAGAAUCUUUCAAAGUUCUUGAAAUGUUCUGGACUGACUGACCUUUGAGCUGUUCUUGCCAUAAUAUGGACUUGGUCUUUUACCAAAUAGGGCUAUAUUCUGUAUACCACCUCUACCUUGUCUCAACACAACUGAUUGGCUCAAACGCAUUAAGAAGGAAAGACAUUUCACAAAUGAACUUUUAACAAGGCACACCUGUUAGUUGAAAUGCAUUCUCUCAACCAUGAAGCUGGUUGAGAGAAUGCCAAGAGUGUGCAAAGCUGUCAUCAAGGUAAAGGGUGUCUACUUUGAAGAAUCUCAAAUAUAAAAGAUAUUUGGAUGUCUUUAACACAAUUUUUAGUUACUACAUGAUUCCAUAUGUGUUAUUUCAUAAUUUUGAUGUCUUCACUAUUAUUCUACAAUGAAGAAAAUAGUAAAAGUAAAAAGAACUCCUUGAGUAGGUGUGUCCAAACUUUUGACUGGUUCUGUACAUCAUUCCCGCACCUUAAUACAGAAUAAACACUGCAAUCACUGGCGAUGGACGAAUCAUUGAAAGAUUAAUGGAGUUUGAGACAGACUUUUUUUAUUUUCAAGCAGGAAUAGCUCAAAGUAAACAGAUGUAGAUUAAGCAAUUCAUUACUUGAGAAACUUCAGAUAAAGUCAUUUCUCAAUGAAGUAUUCUAAUGGCGGCUGGAAAUCUCGACUUCCCACCCGAGAGUAAUGUGAAGUCAUAGGGUUUCUCAGCUACAGCAGCCAAUUAAUGGGAGUCUAGGGCUUUUUUGAAUCUGUCAAGCACGCUAUUGACAUUCUGUGGCUGUAUUCUUAUGCUCAAUUUGAUGAUGCCGCGGUGCUUUCCAAUUAAAAUGUGGAAAAAAUGAUGGAGGAGUACGUAUUAUCUGGAACAGAGCUCUUCAACACCCAUCAAGGGUGCAUUGACCCCUACUUUCAUCUUCUGUGAGAUGAGAAUUCCUGCGACAUCUCUAUUUAGUCUGUUUAUUGAUUUGUUCGCUUUCUUGCUGGUGAUUACUGUGCAAGCAUAUGUUACCUUGGACCGGCUUAAUGUGAGUGCACCUUUUCAGUGACACAGAUUUGACUCAUAUUGCUAUAUGCCUGUAAGCAACCCUCUAGAGUCGGAGCCAUAGUGGAGAUCUCAUGCUGUAGAUGUACAGAAUUCAGAUAAGUCACCUUAUUAUGUCAAAAGGGGGAAUUAAACAAUCAAAAGGAAGCUGACUGAAGUUCCCCCUGCUGUGGCACUUCCCCAUACACGAAGCAUGUACAUCCCAAAUAGUACUGACACACCUGCUCUGCUUGCUCCGACUACCGUGCCUUCUCGCCAUGUCUUCACUCACAGAACUUUCACAAGUCUGGAUGAAUGAAAUUAGCAUCAAAGUUAAAAAAAUUGCCACCCAUUUCCAGGGAGCUAUACACUAGCUACAUAUAAGCCCCAUAAGUCUGGAUUGUGAUACUGUAACUGGACAAUGUGUCAACAAGGGCACCAUGACAUAAUGUUAUGUAUGGUACGAUGUGCUGUUCGUCGUACUGUAUGUUGUUAUGGUUUACAACAGU